AGAGUUUGAUCCUGGCUCAGAUUGAACGCUGGCGGCAGGCUUAACACAUGCAAGUCGAGCGGGGAAAUGUAGCUUGCUACACUACCUAGCGGCGGACGGGUGAGUAAUGCUUAGGAAUCUGCCUAUUAGUGGGGGACAACAUUCCGAAAGGAAUGCUAAUACCGCAUACGUCCUACGGGAGAAAGCAGGGGACCUUCGGGCCUUGCGCUAAUAGAUGAGCCUAAGUCGGAUUAGCUAGUUGGUGGGGUAAAGGCCUACCAAGGCGACGAUCUGUAGCGGGUCUGAGAGGAUGAUCCGCCACACUGGGACUGAGACACGGCCCAGACUCCUACGGGAGGCAGCAGUGGGGAAUAUUGGACAAUGGGGGGAACCCUGAUCCAGCCAUGCCGCGUGUGUGAAGAAGGCCUUUUGGUUGUAAAGCACUUUAAGCGAGGAGGAGGCUACUAGUAUUAAUACUACUGGAUAGUGGACGUUACUCGCAGAAUAAGCACCGGCUAACUCUGUGCCAGCAGCCGCGGUAAUACAGAGGGUGCGAGCGUUAAUCGGAUUUACUGGGCGUAAAGCGUGCGUAGGCGGCUGAUUAAGUCGGAUGUGAAAUCCCUGAGCUUAACUUAGGAAUUGCAUUCGAUACUGGGUCAGCUAGAGUAUGGGAGAGGAUGGUAGAAUUUCUAGGUGUAGCGGUGAAAUGCGUAGAGAUCUGGAGGAAUACCGAUGGCGAAGGCAGCCAUCUGCCUAUACUGACGCUGAGGUACGAAAGCAUG
rnacentral:rRNA from 1 species